UCCUAGCCCCGAUAGUAGUGGAAAUCCUUUGGGGCGGGGGUUCCGCCCAAAAGAUUGAAACGGAUAGCGGGAUUAGCU
rnacentral:sRNA from 1 species